rnacentral:lncRNA from 1 species
GGUUAACCAUUUAUUCUUGUUGCUCAGUCCCUUUUUUAUGUACAGAAUGAGUACAUAGUAGGCACUUAGUAAAUAUUUACAGGUGGUAAAGACUAGGGUGAAAUUGAGGGGCUACCUGCAAUUUGGAUUAGAGUCACCUUAAACCUUAAACUGGUCAGUGAGACAAAGAAUAGAAAGCCAACUAAUGCAAAACUGAUCAACUAAAAGAAAAUUUACAUAUGAAAGUAGGAACAAAGGUAGCCAAGAUUAUGUAGCUAAUAUUCUUAUAUUCUUUAUAGACGAAAUAAAGGACAUUAUUUGUCGAAUCCAAGAUGUUUACUGGCAAUUAUGACAGGGAAUCACCACAGAAACUAUUCCAGAAGUAUAUAAUAAAAUAAAUUUUGAUUGACAGGCAUAAGAGUUCUAGUUAGCAAAACAUAAUUGAAUGUAUGAUGGGAAAAUGUACCAUCUUGGAGGUGCUAAGAUCAUCGUUUGUCUCUCAAAUGUGGUUUGAUAAGAGGAUUAUCAGUACAGUAAGUUCAAAUUUAAGAAUGUAUUUAAAAAUCACUGCUUCCAGCUUUUCCAAUACAGAAUAAUGAUCUCAGACUGACUAAUCUUGGCCAACAGAAUUAAAGGUCUGCUCUGUGAUAUACAUGAUACUAUAGUAUAGUUUGAAACAUUGUCCCAUUUAAGCUUAUAACUGACAGAAAAAAUAAAUGAGAAAACAGCAGAGGUCUCUGUCAUCUCUGGUUGUAUGUACACCAGUAGGGUAGGUACUAUUUUGUGAAAGGUAUAUCCACAGUUUUAAACUAAAAGUUUUUUCUUUAAAAAAUGAUUUUAGGUUUACAGUAACUUCUGGUCAAUUUAUUUCUCAUAGGCAGUUAUCUUUUAUCAGCUUCUUCAUUAUUUUCCAUAUCCAUCCAACUAUAAAAUAGUAUCUAAUUUCUACCUACUUCGAAAAGCCCAAAAGUGAGGGGUGAUGAAUUAGAAUAUUUCUUGAAGACAUAAGUAAAAGGACUUUUUUUUCAACUAACUUUAAAAUUCAUUUUUUAUCAAACAUUUAUUUCACAUUGUCCAAGUUCUAAGCAUCACAUGCCAUGAGCAAUGCUAAGUAGUGUUAGAAUAUACUGAUGUUCAUAAAGUUUCUUUUGUAAUUUUAUUUUUCUUUUCAGUGUUAGAAGUUUGUCUCAAGAGUCAUAACACAAAUGACUAUGCAUAUCUCUUAGCUUAGCAGAGGCACUGCUUUGGUGAUUGCUCUGUUGUAGUGAAAGCAAGAGAAUCCCCAGAGAAGUGUAGAGUGCAUCUCCUGACACCACAGCUAUAGCAUAAACACUCUAGAAAAGACACUGCGUGGAUAAACUUAGCUUCAUUAUCCGCAAGCUUGUACUUGAACCAGAAGUAUGCCAUACUCCCUUAACACAUGCCUCCUAAAAGUAUUGUUUUCCAAAAACUGAGCAAGUUGCUCCUGUGGGUGUUCUGGAUGUUCAUAUUACUAACUGGAAUAAUGGCAUCAAUUUUGAUUUCUAUUUGAAAAAUAAUCAACAGAAAUUUUC